rnacentral:tRNA from 3 species
UGCACCGAUGGUCUAGUGGCUAUGACUUUAGCCUUCCAAGCUAAUAACUCGGGUUCAAAUCCCGAUCGGUGCAUC